rnacentral:rRNA from 1 species
UGGGGAAUAUUGCACAAUGGGCGAAGGCCUGAUGCAGCAACGCCGCGUGAGUGAUGAAGGUCUUCGGAUUGUAAAGCUCUGUCUUUUGGGACGAUAAUGACGGUACCAAAGGAGGAAGCCACGGCUAACUACGUGCCAGCAGCCGCGGUAAUACGUAGGUGGCGAGCGUUGUCCGGAUUUACUGGGCGUAAAGGGUGCGUAGGCGGAUGUUUAAGUGAGAUGUGAAAUACCCGGGCUUAACUUGGGUGCUGCAUUUCAAACUGGAUAUCUAGAGUGCAGGAGAGGAGAAUGGAAUUCCUAGUGUAGCGGUGAAAUGCGUAGAGAUUAGGAAGAACACCAGUGGCGAAGGCGAUUCUCUGGACUGUAACUGACGCUGAGGCACGAAAGCGUGGGUAGCAAACAGGAUUAGAUACCCUGGUAGUCCACGCCGUAAACGAUGAGUACUAGGUGUAGGAGGUAUCGACCCCUUCUGUGCCGCAGUAAACACAUUAAGUACUCCGCCUGGGAAGUACGAUCGCAAGAUUAAAAC